UACGGAGGGAGCUAGCGUUGUUCGGAAUUACUGGGCGUAAAGCGUACGUAGGCGGCUUUGUAAGUUAGAGGUGAAAGCCCGGAGCUCAACUCCGGAACUGCCUUUAAGACUGCAUCGCUAGAAUCCGGGAGAGGUGAGUGGAAUUCCGAGUGUAGAGGUGAAAUUCGUAGAUAUUCGGAAGAACACCAGUGGCGAAGGCGGCUCACUGGACCGGCAUUGACGCUGAGGUACGAAAGCGUGGGGAGCAAACAGG
rnacentral:ncRNA from 2 species